rnacentral:rRNA from 1 species
UCCUACGGGAGGCAGCAGGGGGGAAUUUUCCGCAAUGGGCGAAAGCCUGACGGAGCAAUGCCGCGUGAAGGCAGAAGGCCCACGGGUCAUGAACUUCUUUUCUCGGAGAAGAAAAAAUGACGGUAUCCGAGGAAUAAGCAUCGGCUAACUCUGUGCCAGCAGCCGCGGUAAGACAGAGGGUGCAAGCGUUAUCCGGAAUGAUUGGGCGUAAAGCGUCUGUAGGUGGCUUUUCAAGUCCGCCGUCAAAUCCCAGGGCUCAACCCUGGACAGGCGGUGGAAACUACCAAGCUGGAGUACGGUAGGGGCAGAGGGAAUUUCCGGUGGAGCGGUGAAAUGCGCUGAGAUCGGAAAGGACACCAACGGCGAAAGCACUCUGCUGGGCCGACACUGACACUGAGAGACGAAAGCUAGGGGAGCAAAUGGGAUUAGAUACCUUGGUAGUCCUAGCCGUAAACGAUGGAUACUAAGUGCUGUGCGUAUCGACCCGCGCAGUGCUGUAGCUAACGCGUUAAGCAUCCCGCCUGGGGAGUACGUUCGCAAGAAUGAAACUCAAAUGAAUUGACGGA